rnacentral:rRNA from 1 species
CACGAACCGGACAAACGUUAUUCGGAAUCACUGGGCUUAAAGGGUGCGUAGGCGGCCUGACAAGUUGGGUGUGAAAUCCCUCGGCUCAACCGAGGAAUUGCGCUCAAAACUGUUGGGCUCGAGGGAGUUAGAGGUAAGCGGAACUUAGGGUGGAGCGGUGAAAUGCGUUGAUAUCCUAAGGAACACCAGUGGCGAAAGCGGCUUACUGGAGCUCUUCUGACGCUGAGGCACGAAAGCUAGGGGAGCGAACGGG